rnacentral:rRNA from 1 species
AUGGAGCCGACCUUGAAAUACCACCCUUUAAUGUUUGAUGUUCUAACGUUGACCCGUAAUCCGGGUUGCGGACAGUGUCUGGUGGGUAGUUUGACUGGGGCGGUCUCCUCCUAAAGAGUAACGGAGGAGCACGAAGGUUGGCUAAUCCUGGUCGGACAUCAGGAGGUUAGUGCAAUGGCAUAAGCCAGCUUGACUGCGAGCGUGACGGCGCGAGCAGGUGCGAAAGCAGGUCAUAGUGAUCCGGUGGUUCUGAAUGGAAGGGCCAUCGCUCAACGGAUAAAAGGUACUCCGGGGAUAACAGGCUGAUACCGCCCAAGAGUUCAUAUCGACGGCGGUGUUUGGCACCUCGAUGUCGGCUCAUCACAUCCUGGGGCUGAAGUAGGUCCCAAGGGUAUGGCUGUUCGCCAUUUAAAGUGGUACGCGAGCUGGGUUUAGAACGUCGUGAGACAGUUCGGUCCCUAUCUGCCGUGGGCGCUGGAGAACUGAGGGGGGCUGCUCCUAGUACGAGAGGACCGGAGUGGACGCAUCACUGGUGUUCGGGUUGUCAUGCCAAUGGCACUGCCCGGUAGCUAAAUGCGGAAGAGAUAAGUGCUGAAAGCAUCUAAGCACGAAACUUGCCCCGAGAUGAGUUCUCCCUGACUCCUUGAGAGUCCUGAAGGAACGUUGAAGACGACG